AACACGCCAGUCACGCUGACUACACAGCUCUCACAGUUACACAACGCACACACCGAAGCCAAGCUGCUAGGUCUCAGUGUUCUCGCUCCAGUAUCUCCUGUCCUCUCCUAACCGCCCCCCCACCCCACACCCACCGAGCUUACGUUAAACCCAAUCGCGCCCUGUUGCAGGCCACCGGAGUAGAACUGGCUCGCUCUAGUCGAGAGCUCGGAUCUUGGCAGGCUGCUCUUCUCCGAACGUGGGAACGGAUUCUGAGAAAGCCGUGGGUAUCUUGAUCCGGGUCUGGAAAAGACGGCCGCCGAGGGAAAGCAGUGGCGCACAAACUGAUAUGGUGCGAGCGGUUCGAGUUUCAGCUCCUGAAAUAAAAAGGAUCCUGGCUCCCUCGUGUGGUAGGUGAGCUGUAAGUGCAGCUCUUCCUCACUCAUCUCUCUGAUGAAGACUUUGAGUAAGCAGCGCACCAGGAACAGGGCAUUAUGGGCCUGCCAGAUGAACAGCUGACUGCAGAAAGACAGAAGGAGUUCUCAGGAGACCGCUUUAAACCAUGCAUCUUGAAACCUACAUACAACAUGAAGACGUUGUAGCUAGGCUAAGGUUUAAUUAAUUACUACUUUAAACGUCAUCUACACAAUUAUUUUCUCUUGAGAAUGAAUUGAUGAGCAGAUUACUAGCCCAAAAGUAAAUCUAAAAAUAGAUGUACCUCUACUAGGUCAAUCAAUCUGCAUCUGUACUCACUCUUGGCAUUCGGUGGAGAUCUUCAGCUCUUUGGUUCUUCCCAGGAACACUCUCAGCAAAGCGCCGAAGUUCCCCGAUCUAGGAUUGUUCUUGACUAAAAGAAACGGCAUUUUACAAAUAAAAUCAUGAAUGAAAUGUUUAAUUGAAUAAGUAGAUGAGUAAAAUAACUCGAAACGUCAACGUCAACAUUAAGCGCAGCACAAAUUCCUCUGAAAAUGAAAAACAUUCUGAAGUUAUUUCUAUGAUACGCGAUAUAACUUCUGCUCACAAACUGCAUUUACAUUUAAUAAUGCAUACAAUUUUUAAAAUUAGUUUUUAUUUAUAAAAACAAACAUUUAAUACUGAAAUGGAGGAAAUAAAUAAAACAAAUAAAUUCA